UACAGGAACUAUCAGCUAAUAACCUCUGUUUCUCCUAAGUGAAGAAGCUUGAGAGAAAAGGAGGUUACCCUGGAAACUUGAGUUCUAGAGAGAAGGCAAUUAUGAACCAUGCAGAUGAGCUGGCAGGAAAAAACAUGUGCCCUUUGUUCUGCUGAAGGAUUUAUUGAAAAAGAGUUAUCACUUUGAAAAGUUGUGGUUCUGACAAAUCACCACCUUCUUGCCUUCCAAGCUUCCAAUGUGACAUUUAAUUAAAAUGUGAUAUUUUCCUACU